rnacentral:rRNA from 1 species
ACACAUGCAAGUUGAACGGGAUUUGUAUGGUGCUUGCACCAUGUAAUGAGAGUAGCGCACUGGUGAGUAACACGUGGGAACAUACCUUGAAGUGGGGGACAACAGUUGGAAACGACUGCUAAUACCGCAUAAUCCCUGAGGGGGAAAGAUUUAUCGCUUUAAGAUUGGCCCGCGGAAGAUUAGGUAGUUGGUGGGGUAAAGGCCUACCAAGCCGACGAUCUAUAGCUGGUCUGAGAGGACGAACAGCCGCAUUGGAACUGAGACACGGUCCAGACUCCUACGGGAGGCAGCAGUGAGGAAUAUUGGGCAAUGGAGGAAACUCUGACCCAGCCAUGCCGCGUGAGUGAAGAAGGUUUUCGAAUUGUAAAGCUCUUUCGGAUGGGACGAUGAUGACGGUACCAUCUAAAGAAGCCCCGGCAAACUUCGUGCCAGCAGCCGCGGUAAUACGAAGGGGGCAAGCGUUGUUCGGAAUUACUGGGCGUAAAGGGUGUGUAGGCGGAUUUGUAAGAUAGUGGUGAAAUACCUGAGCUCAACUUAGGAAUUGCCAUUAUAACUAUAGAUCUGGAGUGACAGAGAGGAUAUUGGAAUACCCAGUGUAGAGGUGAAAUUCGUAGAUAUUGGGUAGAACACCAGUGGCGAAGGCGAGUAUCUGGCUGUCAACUGACGCUGAGGCACGAAAGCAUGGGGAUCAAACAGGAUUAGAUACCCUGGUAGUCCAUGCUGUAAACGAUGAACGCUAGUUGUCGGCAAAAGCCGGUGACGCAGUUAACGCGAUA